rnacentral:rRNA from 1 species
UACAGAGGUCCCAAGCGUUGUUCGGAUUCACUGGGCGUAAAGGGUGCGUAGGUGGUGAGGUAAGUCUGAUGUGAAAUCUCUGGGCUCAACCCAGAAACUGCAUUGGAUACUAUCUCGCUAGAGGAGUGGAGGGGGGACUGGAAUACUUGGUGUAGCAGUGAAAUGCGUAGAUAUCAAGUGGAACACCAGUGGCGAAGGCGAGUCCCUGGACACUUCCUGACACUGAGGCACGAAAGCUAGGGGAGCAAACAGG